rnacentral:piRNA from 1 species
UGGUAGAUCAGCUAUCUGGAAUCUGC